AUUGAACGCUGGCGGAAUGCUUUACACAUGCAAGUCGAACGGCAGCACGGGGGCAACCCUGGUGGCGAGUGGCGAACGGGUGAGUAAUACAUCGGAACGUGCCCAGUCGUGGGGGAUAACGUAGCGAAAGUUACGCUAAUACCGCAUACGAUCUACGGAUGAAAGCGGGGGACCGUAAGGCCUCGCGCGAUUGGAGCGGCAGAUGUCAGAUUAGGUAGUUGGUGAGGUAAAGGCUCACCAAGCCGACGAUCUGUAGCUGGUUGGAGAGGACGACCAGCCACACUGGGACUGAGACACGGCCCAGACUCCUACGGGAGGCAGCAGUGGGGAAUUUUGGACAAUGGGCGCAAGCCUGAUCCAGCCAUUCCGCGUGCAGGACGAAGGCCUUCGGGUUGUAAACUGCUUUUGUACGGAACGAAAAGGCUCUGGUUAAUACCUGGGGCUCAUGACGGUACCGUAAGAAUAAGCACCGGCUAACUACGUGCCAGCCGCCGCCGUAA
rnacentral:rRNA from 1 species